rfam:TPA: Bos taurus chromosome 4, whole genome shotgun sequence.
UCCCUGAUGGCUCAGAAGGUAAAGCGUCUGCCUGCUAUGCAGGAGAUACGGGUUCGAUCCCUGGGUCAGAGAG